UCUUCAUCUUCUUAGAUAUAUUUUCACCUGAUUUAACUACAAAACUCAAAUCUAGUAAUGAAUCAAAGAGAAAUUAAUCUCCAUAAACCAAUCACGAGCAUCAGAAAAGUUGGAUUCACUUCGAUUUUCAACUGAAGUGUGCAUAAUUCCAUUUUCAAACCCUUUUAGGUUUCAUUUUUCUUCAGAUCGAUGAUUGAUUCAGGAUUUUGGUGCAGGAGAGGUGAUGGUGGUGGCUUUUAGAACAAAGUAUUGGGAUAUCAACAAUGCAUAUGCAAGCAGUGAAUAAUAAUUACUGUUUUUUGGGGGAACUUGAGUUGAAGAUUUUUUGAUUUUAAGUUGGUGUGGAGUGGAAUAUAAAUUGGAGGAUUUCAUAAGUGUAGAUGAAAUUAGGAGGAUGAAAAGCUUACAGAUGGGUCAUUUUGAAACCAGACGUAGGACAAUUUUGGGGGAUAAUGAAUAUGUAAAGCAAACAGAUAGAACAAAGUGUCAACUUCGUCUCAUUACACAUACACACAUACAUCUGAUGUGGUGAAGGUUUUGGUCUGGCAGGGGCAAUGGUUGGGAUAAUAUCUUGUUAUAUAAUUGCCAUCUUAUGAUACAUGUAGACAUACAUCUGUAGCCUGCAAAAAACAAGUCGUUACUUUUAACUGUAUGUGCUGGUCGCAUGUGGGGUGCUUCACUUCUGCUACCCUUGGCGAGAAGACCACAGUGUUGUCACCUAAAGUACUUAUGCAGGGAUUUCUUGUUGCAGAUUGGUGCAGAAUUUUGGGGAGUUCGGAGUAGCUUACCAUUCAGGAUUCAGCCAUGGUCAGAAUCCUUCACUCCACAAUCUUUUCGUUUACAUUAGGACUACAAAAACUUGGUUUACUGCACUUAUAGGUGGGUAAAGCCACUGUGUUUGUUAUAAAAGAAUAAAAAAAUGAUGCAACAUUCAUAAACUUAAAUUCAUUCGACGUACUCCCUACUAUUGGGAUGGUGUGUGAAUUCAUAAUAUCUAGGAUGUAAACUACAUGCAAGGGAUGGUGUGAUGUGCACCUUAGUGUUGCUGUAGUGACAAGACUUGUUAUAAAAAUCACCUGAAUCAUUACAGUUCUAUCUGUUAUCUUGUAUAACCAAAGACAGUGUACCAGGCAGUGGUAUGCUGGGGCUUGUACCUCUUCCAGUUUCCAC